GUAGGGCUCCUGCACGCUCAGAGUGGCCUUGGCCAGGAAGUCCAGGGUUUCCGCAGGCAGAGUGUAUGAACAAGGUACUGAGAAGAUCACAUACUGCAUGUCCUCCUAAAACCUGGUCCUGGCAUAACCUUCUAAGCUGUUUUAUUCAGCAAGACAAAUGAGAAACAAAUAUGCCAACAUCUAUAGAGCCAUGAACUCUGUCAGCAUCCAUGUUCUGAUUCUUCUUGAAGAAGUAAGCUUUUUGAUAGCAGCAGUACAUCUAUGUGUUCUUUUCCUAUGUCCUACCGUGGAAAUGUGAUACAGAAAAUAUCCAAGGAAUAAUCCUCUCUACCAAAAGCCCGCCUGAGGCCAGGCACAGUAACUUACACCUGUAACCCUUGCACUUUGAGAGAAUGAGGCGGGAGAAUGGUUGGAGCUCAGGAGUUUGAGACCA
rnacentral:lncRNA from 1 species